GUGACUGUGGCUCAGUUGGUAGAGCGGGUUGUCCACCAAUCAUAGGGUUGGCGGUUCGAUUCCCAGCCCACGUGACU